GUGCCAGCCGCCGCGGUAAGACGAACCGAGCGAACGUUGUUCGGAAUCACUGGGCUUAAAGGGCGCGUAGGCGGGCUAUCAAGUCCGGGGUGAAAUCCUCCAGCUUAACUGGAGAACUGCCUCGGAUACUGAUGGUCUCGAGGGAGAUAGGGGCAAGCGGAACUGUGGGUGGAGCGGUGAAAUGCGUUGAUAUCCAUAGGAACUCCGGUGGCGAAGGCGGCUUGCUGGAUCUCAUCUGACGCUGAGGCGCGAAAGCCAGGGGAGCAAACGGGAUUAGAAACCCCCGUAGUCC
rnacentral:rRNA from 1 species